UUUUUGGUAUGUUCUUUGGCCUCCCAAAAUCACAACAAAUCUUCAAAAGCCCUAAUGGACAAUAGUUCAAUCCUAAAUGAUUUCCCCCAAGCUUGAUCCGGCUUCCAAUUUCAACUCCCCAUGAUUGAUUUUUCUUCUGUGAAUUUUGUUUCAUUUUCACCAAAUAUUUCCCUCCCUACCAAUCCCGCUUCCGAUUUCAAUCCUAAAUGAUUUCCUCUUAAAAGCCCUAAUCAGGAACUUUUUUAGGUAUCUUCUUUGGCCUCCCAAAAUCACAAAAAAUCUUCAAAAGCCCUAAUUAGAUCUCUUCAACAGAGCAUUUGAUUCCGAACUGCUCUCCUAAUCAAAUCUAUGCUCGCCCAAGAACAACAGCCAACCGAAUAGUACUAGCAGUGUUUUCAGCCAAAACCGGGACCUUGGCCAGUUUGAUUCUUGCUAUCGGAGCAGAUAGAUGAGAACCGGAGGUCGGACUAGAAACCGGUCGGUUGGACCAAAAAACCAGGAGGUUGGAUCGAAUUUUUAAUCAGUCGGUCUCCCUACCUCGAUUCCCUCACACGGUUCUAGCAUCCUCUCAGGAUUUGGUUAUGGCGGAAGGUUAUCGCUACACCCUUGUUGCUCAGUUAGAGUAUUCUCAUGAACCAUAUGUGGAUUCAUAACAUGGAUUUCUUUAGCAAGACGACGUCGUUGCCUCAUCACCCAACAACCCUCCUUCGCCGCCUCGUUUCCUUGAAAUUAUUUUUUCUCGUCUCAAGUGGAUCUAGUUAUUGCUAUAGCUAUAACUUGCUUUUCUUUGUUGCAGAGUAUUCUUGUGGACCCUCUAAAAUUCUAAGCUUGUCAAUCAUCUUAAGAGUAUAAUCAAGUUUAGAGGUGGUCCGAUAUUAGUUGCUGAGUACAUAGAGGAAGUGCUGAUAAAUCCCAAGGCUGGUUUAUAACCUCUCUAAAGUAAGCCAAAUGUUUGGAGAGACAAGCCAAACUGGGUCAAUCUGACGAUCUAGCGAAGGGCCGAAAUGAAAGCUGGGAGAGUUUUUCAUAGAACGAAAAAGGUUAUCUUGUUACAAGUGAGACAAAAGUGUUGUUUCUAGGAGUGAUGUAGGUUAUGUUACACUUGCUGCAUCAUUUGUAAAAAGCUUUUGAUUAAAAGUUUAUGUAUUUAAUAUGUAUAUCGAAAAGUUAUGUAUGGAUUUUAG
rnacentral:lncRNA from 1 species